UACGUAGGGCGCAAGCGUUGUCCGGAAUUAUUGGGCGUAAAGAGCUCGUAGGUGGUUUGUUACGUCUGCUGUGAAAACCUAGGGCUUAACCCUGGGCCUGCAGUGGAUACGGGCAGACUAGAGGUAGGUAGGGGAGAAUGGAAUUCCCGGUGUAGCGGUGAAAUGCGCAGAUAUCGGGAGGAACACCGGUGGCGAAGGCGGUGGUCUGGGCCGGAACUGACGCUGAGGAGCGAAAGCGUGGGGAGCGAACGAGG
rnacentral:rRNA from 1 species